rnacentral:rRNA from 1 species
UACGUAGGCAGCAAGCGUUGUUCGGAGUUACUGGGCGUAAAGGGUGUGUAGGCGGUCCUCUAAGUUUGGUGUGAAAUCUCCCGGCUCAACUGGGAGGGUGCGCCGAAAACUGGAGGGCUAGAGUACUGGAUGGGAGAGUGGAAUUCCUGGUGUAGCGGUGAAAUGCGUAGAUAUCAGGAGGAACACCGGUGGCGAAGGCGGGUCUCUGGGCCGGAUACUGACGCUGAGGAGCGAAAGCGUGGGGAGCGAACAGG